AUUUGAGUCCCACAAAGCCUAAUUUUAGAAACAUUAGAUAUGGUUUGAGGUCAGAAUUUUGUAGCUCAGGCCAGUGUCUAAUUGUGUCUAACUUUAUGGAUUCAGAAUUCCUGGAAUUUCUUCCACUUGCAGUCUAUGUACUGACCCAAUUAGUGGAGUGGGCAAAAUGUUUUGCAUGUAACACAAAACUUAAAAAAUAAAAUUACUUCUUGCUGGAGCAAUUUUGCAAGCUUUUGCCAAAAGUAAACUACUGAUGUUCACUUCAAUAUUAUAUUAAUUGUACUGAUUAAUUAUUGUCAUACUGUUACAACAUUUUGUUCAUCUGACCAAUGUUCUAUGGAAAACUACUGUUGGUACAUAUGGACAUUUUGGCAGCUCUGAAAAAGGUAAAACAGAGUAAAAGUGUUAAUUCUUAUACAGCUUCCACAGGGCCUGAUUCAUUUAACUCAGUGUAAAUGCAAACUCCAGUUACUCCCCAUUUAUACUGGUAUAGCUGAGGCCAGUCAUGAUCAUAAUGACAUAGCUAGAAUCUCCGUCUUUACAAGGGUGAGGGUUAGAGUUUAUUUUGAUGUGCAGGUAGUUGUACUAAUGCAAGCUAUCCAUGUAAAUCCUUGUGAAUAUACGUUCCCUCCAUGUACAAAUCUGGAAUCUACCUGUGAUUGUCAUGGAUGAACAGCCUUAGGGCUUAGUUCUCUACUUACCCUUGUUUUAUUCUGUAGUAGCUCCACUGACUCUAAUGGAGUUAAAAUACUCCUGAUUUACACCAGUGUAAAUUAAAGGAUAAAUGGUCUUAGGGAAGCUUCUAGCUGAUUGACCUCAGUCCAGGUGCCAUUAGCAGACACAUUUAGGCUAUGUCUACACUACACAGCUUUUAGCAACAGGGCUGUGUCACUGAAGCCGUGUCGCUAAAUGGCACACAGUGUAGCCGCUGUUUGUCACUCUCCUGCCGACAAAAAACUUCCAUCCCCAAUGAGAGUGCUCCUGCUGACAAAGAGCUGUUCACACUGGUGCUUUUUGUCAGCAAAACUUUUGUCUUUCUGGAGGUGGAGGUAUUUAAAACCUCUGAAAGACAAAAGUUUUGUUGUUCAGUUGCCAGUGUAGACAUAGCCUCAACUUAUAAAAGUCACACAGAAAUCCUAAAUUAUAUUUUAUUUUAGCUUCUACCUGCAUCUUCAUGGAUUCUAGCUACACCACGUCCAUGUGUGUUGUGGAAAACUAUUAGUCAAAAGAGAUCAAAAAAUGCUUGAGGCUUUACACCUCUACCAGGCCUGUAUGAUCUCUAGUUAUAUUGUCUACACUAUGUCAUUAUUUACAUGUCAGAGAAUAAAGCCAGCGUCUCCCUUAGGGUAAUAUAUUGUAACAAGUUUCUGAGGUUUGCCUAUACAGAGACCAGGCUUGGUUUCAUGAGGUUUUUACAAAGUAUACUCUAAAUCCCCUGAGCAGUUUGCAAAACAUUGUUAUUUUUUGUUAAAAGUAACAAGUAUAUAUAUUAUCCAGAAUUGUUCCUUGUCAUGUCACCACUCACAUCUGCAAACCUUACAGAGCAGGAAUUGUCUGUAAAAUUAAAUUUUAAUCUAUAAUUUUCACAAAUGAGAAGAUGGUUUCCUGUUCAGGCCAGUUCAGAAUCUAUUAUGAAAGGAAAUAUUGUUCCUGGUUUAUACUCUCAGAUUUAUUUAAACCUGGCAAUUCUACAUAGUGACAUAACUUCACAUAAAGUGAUUUCUCAGCAUUACAGGAGUUGGCUUAAAUCACGAUAUUAAGAAAACACUUUGAAUAGCUUGGUAAUAAUGAACCAACAAGUUUUCCAGAAUGUCAUUUAGAAGAAGUUAAAUAAAAAUGGAGACUAUUUAUCAUUUUAUAAUAAUGCUUUGCACUUAUAUUGUUCUUUACAUCUUCUUCCCUGUAAUUUUUAAUUAUUUUACCAUAUCUGUGUACAUUUCAUGUGUAAGAUGAAUGUGACAAACUAUUGAAUGCCCAUUAAAAUAUGUCAUGAACUCCCUUAAGUAAGCCUUUAGAAAUGGUCACUGAAAUACUGUUCAACAACAUUUUUUCCUCUGUGUAAAAGCUCCGAAGCUUGUCUCUCUCACCAGUAAAAGUUGGUCCAAUACAAGAUAUUAUCUCACCCACCUUUUCUCUUGGCUAUCUCAGAGGAGGUCAGUUUAGGAUGGAACCAGAAGGUCUCUGGGAUAGCUACCACUGACGGAUACUUAAGAAAAAGCUUUCUUAACCAAGCAAAAUAAUUAUUCUUUUCUCUGUCUCCAUGUUUCCAAAUAUAGUGAAGUAUUUUUUCUCCCCACAAAGCAGUUUUGCUAUAAGAGGUUCCUUCACUAAAACUGGAAUUGCAGUUUUGCAAGCUGCAGUGCUUUGAAAGGAUGUGACCUUUCCUUCUUCAUUCUUAACUCAAUUUCAUUGUCACCAAAUUUAUGACAGUGGGUUCUGCUACAUAAACCUUUAUUAUACACCGCAUGCAAUAAACGUACACAUGCAAGGAAAGUUUGUCUCUAUUUUUUCUUCCUUCUCUUAUUUCGAUUAUCAAAUGAAAUAAAUGAAAAUCGAAGACAAAAAACUGAGACGAAAUAUUCUCGGAGCAAAAUGAAAACAUUCUUGUUAUUCAAUAAUGUUUGUCUUAACAUCCUCUGUAAUCACAUAGCAAACAUCAGUGGAAUGAGGUUAGUGUACUUAAAAAACUGAAAUCAGGCAUAACUCUACCCUGAUUUUGAGCAUGAAGAAACAAGCGUAGCCAUUCAGCACUGCUCUCUCCCAGGAAAAGAGACUUGUUUUUAAAAUAAAUCAUGUUCUUGUUAAGGCAGUUUGAUCACCAUUAAUUAAGGUGAAAUAGUUAAAACUGUACAGGCUUUUAGGAAGGAAAAGCGUACAGUCCAUUCAGAUUAUUGUCAGACAGCAAAACGGAUCAUUUCAGGGUAGCUAGUAGCUGGUGCUUUCAGCCAAAUUCAUGUUCCAUUGAAAUCACCUCGCAGUGAAAUGAAGCAAUUUACGCUCAUGCAGUAAGGUUGGCAGAUGUCUUGAGCGUGUGUAGUAACGGAGAGAAGACGGUACAGGGGAAAGUCUUUGACUUUUGUCUUCCUGUUUUUCAGCAUACCAAUCGGAUUCCACUAAUACUAACUCAGCCCGAACUGCAUUGAACUCACCAUCAGCCUCAACAGAGACGAUCUGGAGGAGGAAACAGACAGAUCCCAUGUACUGGACAAAGCUGCAAAUGUUUCUAUGCUCCACUAUCAUCUCCGUCCCAGAGGCUAGUGCAGAUUAGAAGGCGAUAAAAAUGCACUUGUGAUGACAUGUUCUCAUAGCUCAUGCAGUCCUUCCACACUGAAAGAGCUCAGCAGAAUGCAUGGAGGCAAACAAUGGCAGAGUCCAAAAAAGCAUUACUGAACACGAUGAGAGGAGGGAGGAACAUGCUGAGAGGAGGAAGGAUGCAGUGCUGAGCCUAAUGGGGGAGCAAACUGACAUGCUCUGGAGUCUGGUGGAGCUGCAGGAAAAGCAGCAGGAGCACAGACCACCGCUGCAGCCCCCGAAUAACGUCUGUCCUCCUCUCCAAGUUCCAUAUCCUUUUCACCCAGACACCCAAGAACGCGGUGGGAGGCUACGGGCACCCAGCCACUCCACCCCAGAGGAUUGCCCAAGCAACAGAAGGCUGGUAUUCAAUAAGUUUUGAAUUGUAGUGUGACAUUGUCCUUCCCUCCUCCCCUCAUCCACCACCCCACCCGGUGCUUCCCUCCUCAUGCACCCCUCCUGGGCUACCUUGCAAGUUUUCCCCCUAUUUGUGUGAUGAAAUA